CAAUAGCGUAUAUUAAAGUUGUUGCAGUUAAAAAGCUCGUAGUUGGAUUUCUGGUGGGAGCGAUCGGUCUGGCGCUUAGCGCGAGUACUUGCAUCGUCUCCGGCCAUCCUUGGGGAGAGUCUGUCUGGCAUUAGGUUGUCGGGCAGAGGAUCCUCAUCGUUUACUGUGAAAAAAUUAGAGUGUUCAAAGCAGGCUUAUGCCGUUGAAUAUAUUAGCAUGGAAUAAUAAGAUAGGACUUUGGUACUAUUUUGUUGGUUUGCGCACCAAAGUAAUGAUUAAUAGGGACAGUUGGGGGUAUUCGUAUUCUAUUGCUAGAGGUGAAAUUCUUAAAUUUAUGGAAGACGAACUACUGCGAAAGCAUUUACCAAGGAUGUUUUCAUUAA
rnacentral:rRNA from 1 species